ensembl:rRNA 5S_rRNA 5S ribosomal RNA
GUCUACAGCCAUACCAUCCGGAACGCGCCCCAUCUCAUCUGAUCUCAGAAGCUAAGCAGGGUCGGGCCCGGUUAGUACUUGGAUGGACUGGUCAAGUUUGAGAGGCUGAUGAGAUGUGUCAAGGAAGCUGUUGGGU